GGAGGGUGCAAGCGUUACUCGGAAUCACUGGGCGUAAAGGGUGCGUAGGCUGACUUUUAAGUCAGGCGUGAAAUCCAAUGGCUUAACCAUUGAACUGCGCUUGAAACUGGGAGUCUAGAGUUCAGAAGGGGCAGAUGGAAUUAGUGGUGUAGGGGUAAAAUCCGUAGAUAUCACUAGGAAUAUCAAAAGCGAAGGCGAUCUGCUGGGAUGAUACUGACGCUGAGGCACGAAAGCGUGGGGAGCAAACAGGAUUAGAUACCCUGGUAGUCCACGCCCUAAACGAUGAAUGCUAGUCGUCGGGGAGCUCGUCUCUUCGGUGAUGCACUUAACAGAUUAAGCAUUCCGCC
rnacentral:rRNA from 1 species